GUAUAUUUGCAAUGUAUAAAACUAGAAAUUAAAAUGGAGAUUACAACUUUCUACUUAUUAUCCACUAUAAAUUUUUAAUUGAAUUUAAUUUUUUCCUAAACAAAAGGAAUUUUUUACAUAAAUUUAAGAUUACAACAACUACAAUUCAAACAACCACAUAAUUCAAUCAUUGUCGUCGUCCUCCUCAUCAUAGUUGUCAUACUUUUCAUUAUCAUCAUCGUCGUCGUCUUCUUCUUCAUCGUCCUAAUCUUCUUGUUCAUCUCCAUCAUUUUCUACUUCUUAAUCAUCUUCUUCUUCUCGUAUUUCUCCUUCGAAUUCUUUAGGAUCACCAUCAAAAUCAUGCAAUGUUGAUACAUUUUCAAGUUCAUUUAUUUCAUUGGCAUGUAACAUUUUAUCAACAUGGUAGGGGAUAUCCUCUUCCAC
rnacentral:lncRNA from 1 species